rnacentral:rRNA from 1 species
UGAGGAAUAUUGGUCAAUGGGCGCAAGCCUGAACCAGCCAUCCCGCGUGAAGGAUGAAUGUCUUAUGGAUUGUAAACUUCUUUUCUGUGCAAAGAAUAUGCCUUACGAGUAGGGUAUUGACGGUAGUACAGGAAUAAGCACCGGCUAACUCCGUGCCAGCAGCCGCGGUAAUACGGAGGGUGCAAGCGUUAUCCGGAUUUAUUGGGUUUAAAGGGUGCGUAGGUGGAAUGAUAAGUCAGUGGUGAAAUCCUGCAGCUUAACUGUAGAACUGCCAUUGAUACUGUUGUUCUGGAGUGCAGAUGAGGUAGGCGGAAUGAGUAGUGUAGCGGUGAAAUGCUUAGAUAUUACUCAGAACACCGAUUGCGAAGGCAGCUUACUAAACUGUAACUGACACUGAUGCACGAAAGCGUGGGGAUCGAACA